rnacentral:rRNA from 1 species
UAAUACGUAGGGCGCAAGCGUUGUCCGGAAUUAUUGGGCGUAAAGAGCUCGUAGGUGGUUUGUCGCGUCUGUCGUGAAAGCCCAUGGCUUAACUGUGGGUCUGCGGUGGAUACGGGCAGGCUAGAGGCAGGUAGGGGAGAACGGAAUUCCCGGUGUAGCGGUGAAAUGCGCAGAUAUCGGGAGGAACACCGGUGGCGAAGGCGGUUCUCUGGGCCUGUACUGACGCUGAGGAGCGAAAGCGUGGGGAGCGAACAGGAUUAGAUACCCUGGUAGUCCACGCCGUAAACGUUGGGCGCUAGGUGUGGGGUUCUUCCACGGAUUCCGCGCCGUAGCUAACGCAUUAAGCGCCCCGCCUGGGGAGUACGGCCGCAAGGCUA